UUUCUUCUUCACUAAAGAAAUAACAUCCGCUAUUUCUUGUUUGCCUCAUUGGAGUUUUUCCUUAUUUCUAUUUUGGUCAAGCCUAGUUGGAGUGUGUUCUUCGGUUCUUUCUCCCUUAGAUUCUUGGGCUAGCCUUUCAUAGUCUAGUAGUGACCGAAAAAAAGUGAGCAGAAGGAGCAGAGGACGGCGACGGCGACCUCCGAAGGAGCGACUGCGCGAGGAAGAACCAGAGAAGAUGGAAGUGAAACUACUUAUGGCCUCUGGAGUUCUGCACUUCUGCCACUUUGAUGUGAUGAUACUGAUGAAAAAUUGCAGCACCAACAUAACGAAGUUAUUGUGAAUUUGGAUCUGAUUUUCCCCCCGCAUACCCAAAACGACGUAGCUUAGGCGGUAUUCCAAAAACCGAUCGGUUUUCGAUCUGGUCGAACCGACCGAUUUUCAACCGGUUUUCAAGUUUGUCAUCGGUUUUCUUGGCAUCCGGUUUUUUUCAGUAAUUCGAAUCGAUAACUGGUUUUCAGAACCUUGGUGAAAAGUGAUGUUGGCAGCCCCCAGGUUUGAAGGGUCGGAUCCAUCAUAUUGAAAACGAUAAUAAUAAUUUUGUUAUUUUCAUCGUUCAUUACUUGAUACAUAGUUUGUCUUCUUAGGUUAUCUUGUCUCUCUUCUCUCUUCCCCUCCAUUUUUAUCUGGAUCCACAAGCCAAAGCCAUGGGAGAAAUGAAUUGGAUUCAGCGCAAGAUCUUCCUCUACAAUGUUACUUUCGGGCUUUAUAUGUUGGAUUGGUGGGAACGCUGUACUUUCAAUAUUUUGCUGAUUGUAUUAAUGUGGUUCGUGAUAAGAUAUAUUACUGAGUUCUUCAGGAGUUACAUUUUAAUGGCAGGUAUGUGUUCAAGCAGUAUAUGUAGAUGGUGACUUGAGGAUUCAUAUUAGUUGCAUUUGGUGUAGCUAACUAGGGAAAUAUACUGUAGCAGUUUGAUAUGAACUGACUUUGGAGUUUCUUCAAGCUGUCAACAGAAGUUGCGCAUCUCAUGCCUGUUGUGCACCGUCGUUAAUCUUAUAUUUUUGACAUUUGCUUGCUUGUUAGAUUGUAUUAUGUGGGAUGAUAAUUGCAUUACUCAGUUGUAAUAAUCUUUUUUUGAGAAUUUUUACUAUUGUGUUUGAACUAUUGAAAAUUCAAAAUGUGAGAUCCUCUUUAAAGCCAUAAGGUUUCAUUGAAGCCCCA